AGAAACGGCCUUUAAUCCUCAGCUUGCACAUCCUUGCGUUGAUUGGCUGCCACCCAAUCACGCGUUGGCGCAUCUUUCCCAGCACUAUGAAGCCGGUUCCCAGCUCGUUGGUGGUGCCACAGCUUUGGUAGAAGGUAGCCGCCCGAUGCCCGCUUUUCCACACUUUCUGUCCUGUCCAGCAAAUCUCCUGCAGCGCCACGACGUCGAAGUUGCGGGGAUGUAAUUCAUCGUAGAUCAUCCUGUCGCAACCUGCGAAACCUAGCGACUUGCAGUUCCAUGUUCCAAGCUUCCAAUCGUGAUCCUUUAUUCGUCGCCUAGGUCUUUGCCGAUUAUAUCGAGUCGCAUUAUCUCUUAUAUUGUUCGUAAUUAUUGGUUUUCCAGGCGGCUUAUUGGGCCUGCGCAAACCUCCUGUCUCGCCGGAGGGCCGUCGUGUCAGGGCUGUUUAGCGUCCCACCUAACACCAGGACUUGGGCUUGUGCGCUUUGAGCGGCACACGGUCGCUUUGGCGGAGCCUACUUGCGGAUACAUGCAGCUUUUUUUAGGGGUUUAACAGGGCCCACUGUCAAACCCCACCACAUCCUAGGCAGGCGCCACAACUCGCAGAUGGCCUGGGGAGGGAUCGUCAAGCCCUUGGACAAAGUCCCUGCUGCCCCCAGACAAAAAUCGUUGCAAUCUUCUAUUGCAACGAUUAACUCCUUGUACCCUUAGUAUAAAAUAGGUUAAGAUUAGUUUAAGUAGAAAACAUUGUAAUUCCUACAUGGUUCAAUUCAACCAGAGGAAAAAUUCUAACUGCCAGAGGCAAUUGAAAUGUAUUAAUAAUAACUAAAAAUGUAACAUAGCAAAUAAGGAUGAUAGUGUUAAGAAAACACGGAACACCUAGUCUAAGAGAUGAAUGCAUGUAUUAGAUAAUUAGCAAAUAAAAUUAAUUAAAAAAAAAAAAAAAAAAAAAAAA